rnacentral:rRNA from 1 species
CAUACGGGUGGCAGCAGUGGGGAAUAUUGGACAAUGGGCGAAAGCCUGAUCCAGCCAUGCCGCGUGUGUGAAGAAGGCCUUCGGGUUGUAAAGCACUUUCAGUGGGGAAGAAAGCCUUGGGGCUAAUACCCUCGAGGAAGGACAUCACCCACAGAAGAAGCACCGGCUAACUCCGUGCCAGCAGCCGCGGUAAUACGGAGGGUGCGAGCGUUAAUCGGAAUUACUGGGCGUAAAGCGCGCGUAGGCGGUCUGAUAAGCCGGUUGUGAAAGCCCCGGGCUCAACCUGGGAACGGCAUCCGGAACUGUCAGGCUAGAGUGCAGGAGAGGAAGGUAGAAUUCCCGGUGUAGCGGUGAAAUGCGUAGAGAUCGGGAGGAAUACCAGUGGCGAAGGCGGCCUUCUGGACUGACACUGACGCUGAGGUGCGAAAGCGUGGGUAGCAAACAGGAUUAGAUACCCCAUAGUC